CUGGGUGUAGCUCAGCCUGGUGGAGCGCACGGUUCGGGUCCGUGAGGCCGCGGGUUCAAAUCCUGUCACCCAGA
rfam:Cystobacter fuscus DSM 2262 contig66, whole genome shotgun sequence.